GCCGGGCAUGGUGGCUCACGCCUGUAAUCCCAGCACUUUGGGAGGCUGAGGCGGGUGGAUCACCUGAGGUCAGGAGUUCGAGACCAGCCUGGCCAACAUGGUGAAACCCCGUCUCUA
rnacentral:SRP_RNA from 2 species